CCUGGAAUAAGCGUCGGCUAACUACGUGCCAGCAGCCGCGGUAAGACGUAUGACGCAAGCGUUAUCCGGAUUUACUGGGCGUAAAGCGUCUGUAGGCGGUUGGGUAAGUUGGGCGUGAAAGCUCCGUGCUCAACGCGGAGAGGUCGUUCAAUACUGCCGAACUAGAGGACAUCAGAGGAGCAUGGAAUUUCCGGUGUAGCGGUAAAAUGCGCAGAUAUCGGAAGGAACACCAGUGGCGAAGGCGGUGCUCUGGGGUGUGCCUGACGCUGAGAGACGAAAGCUAGGGGAGCGAACAGGAUUAGAGACCCUGGUAGUCCUAGCCCUAAACGAUGGAUGCUAGAUGUGGGGCCGAGAAGGCUCCGUGUCGCAGUUAACGCGCUAAGCAUCCCGCCUGGGGAUUACGGCCGCAAGGCUAAAACUCAAACGAAUUGACGGGGCCCCGCACAAGCAGCGGAGCGUGUGGUUUAAUUCGAUGCUACACGAAGAACCUUACCUGGGUUUGACAUGUAAGUGGUAGUGAAACGAAAGCGGAGCGACCCUUCGGGGAGCCUACACAGGUGCUGCAUGGCUGUCGUCAGCUCGUGCCGUGAGGUGUCGGGUUAAGUCCCGUAACGAGCGCAACCCUUGCCCUUAGUUACAAGUGUCUAAGGGGACUGCCGGCGGUAAGCCGGAGGAAGGUGGGGAUGACGUCAAGUCAGCAUGGCCCUUAUAUCCAGGGCUACACACACGCUACAAUGGUCAGUACAAAGGGCAGCGAAGCCGCGAGGUGAAGCGAAUCCCACCAAAGCUGAUCUAAGUUCGGAUUGCAGGCUGCAACUCGCCUGCAUGAAGCUGGAGUUGCUAGUAACCGCGCGUCAGCCAUAGUGCGGUGAAUACGUUCCCGGGGCUUGUACACACCGCCCGUCACGUCAUGGGAGUCGGUAACGCCUGAAGCUGGUAGUCUGGCCC
rnacentral:rRNA from 1 species